UACGAAGGGGGCUAGCGUUGCUCGGAAUCACUGGGCGUAAAGGGUGCGUAGGCGGGUUUUUAAGUUCAGAGGUGAAAUCCUGGAGCUCAACUCCAGAACUGCCUUUGAUACUGGGAAUCUUGAGUAUGGAAGAGGUGAGUGGAACUGCGAGUGUAGAGGUGAAAUUCGUAGAUAUUCGCAAGAACACCAGUGGCGAAGGCGGCUCACUGGUCCAUAACUGACGCUGAGGCACGAAAGCGUGGGGAGCAAACAGGG
rnacentral:rRNA from 1 species